rnacentral:rRNA from 1 species
ACACAGGUGGUCGGGUAGAGAAUACCAAGGCGCUUGAGAGAACUCGGGUGAAGGAACUAGGCAAAAUGGUACCGUAACUUCGGGAGAAGGUACGCUCUCGACGGUGAAGUCCCUCGCGGAUGGAGCUAUUGAGAGUCGCAGAUACCAGGUGGCUGCAACUGUUUAUUAAAAACACAGCACUGUGCAAAAUCGUAAGAUGACGUAUACGGUGUGACGCCUGCCCGGUGCCGGAAGGUUAAUUGAUGGGGUUAGACUUC